GUGAGGAAUAUUGGACAAUGGGCGCAAGCCUGAUCCAGCCAUGUCGCGUGCAGGAAGACGCAUCUAUGGUGUGUAAACUGCUUUUGUACGGGAAGAAACACUCCCUCGUGAGGGAGCUUGACGGUACCGUAAGAAUAAGGAUCGGCUAACUCCGUGCCAGCAGCCGCGGUAAUACGGAGGAUCCAAGCGUUAUCCGGAAUCAUUGGGUUUAAAGGGUCCGUAGGCGGUUUAAUAAGUCAGUGGUGAAAGCCCAUCGCUCAACGAUGGAACGGCCAUUGAUACUGUUAGACUUGAAUUACAAGGAAGUAACUAGAAUAUGUAGUGUAGCGGUGAAAUGCUUAGAUAUUACAUGGAAUACCAAUUGCGAAGGCAGGUUACUACUUGUGGAUUGACGCUGAUGGACGAAAGCGUGGGGAUCAAACAGGAUUAGAUACCCUGGUAGUCC
rnacentral:rRNA from 1 species